GAUGAACGCUGGCGGCGUGCCUAAUACAUGCAAGUCGAGCGAACAGACGAGGAGCUUGCUCCUCUGACGUUAGCGGCGGACGGGUGAGUAACACGUGGAUAACCUACCUAUAAGACUGGGAUAACUUCGGGAAACCGGAGCUAAUACCGGAUAAUAUAUUGAACCGCAUGGUUCAAUAGUGAAAGACGGUUUUGCUGUCACUUAUAGAUGGAUCCGCGCCGCAUUAGCUAGUUGGUAAGGUAACGGCUUACCAAGGCAACGAUACGUAGCCGACCUGAGAGGGGGAUCGGCCACACUGGAACUGAGACACGGUCCAGACUCCUACGGGAGGCAGCAGUAGGGAAUCUUCCGCAAUGGGCGAAAGCCUGACGGAGCAACGCCGCGUGAGUGAUGAAGGUCUUCGGAUCGUAAAACUCUGUUAUUAGGGAAGAACAAAUGUGUAAGUAACUAUGCACGUCUUGACGGUACCUAAUCAGAAAGCCACGGCUAACUACGUG
rnacentral:rRNA from 1 species